UUGCUCUCUUGGGCAGCACAUAUACUGAAAUGGGAACAAUACAGAGAAGAUUAUAAUAGCCCUGCACAAGGAUGACGUGCAAAUUCAUGAAGUGCUACAUAUUUUU
ensembl:snRNA U6 U6 spliceosomal RNA